rnacentral:lncRNA from 1 species
UAACUUUUCUAAGUGGGAAGCCAAACUUGUUGAUUAUAAAUCUAGUGAUAUAGUUGUUGGUUCAUUCUGUUCAAUUCUGAAGAACUUAUUUUUAAAAUUAUUAUGAAAACAUUUGUAUACUAUCGUUUGACCAUGAACCAUUCGCUUUACCAUUUCAAAAUUAGCUCCAUCAGGAACUUCCAAAUACGUCUCCUUCUUCUGUGAAUUUCUUAUUUGUUCCAUUAACAACACAGUGUAUGCACCCCGCAAGUUGAAUGCAAUUCAAUCAGUAAUUUAGGAUCAUCAUGUUUUCCUUUUAUUCUCAAUCACCAAUAUAUACAUGUUUACUGUUAACUAAUAUGUUAAGAUACUCAUGUGGAAUCUGUGUUUUAGCAUGCCCAUCAAUUUGUAAGAUCAUCCCCCUAUGUAUUGAAAUGCAUC